rnacentral:misc_RNA from 1 species
AACAUCGCGCACCUGCGGGAACCUGCGGAGGGAUCAUUAAAAAAUCGUCCGAGCCGCAAGGCUCUAUUGUCUUGUGAAACGUUUGUGGGGUGAGUGAGGCUACAGUUCGUGAGCGGCGGGUGCGCUUGUUCAUGUAUGUGCGCGAGUGGGCCUGCCCGCCAGCGUCGCCGCGUUCUCCCAUACUAUUUUGUUAUAAAAGUGUGUCUUUGACGUUGAGGAAUGUAUCUGCAAUGCAUAUAU